rnacentral:lncRNA from 10 species
CACAGCCAUGCAUGGGGAUGUUCUCGUGUAAGAGGGUCAGACGGGCAAAAAUCCGGGAAGAAGGGAUUCCAAGCGACAGGGCACAUGGUACAAUGCCUCCCAUUCAGUAGAUGCACCCCAGAAACAUUGUUAUGUUGCCCUCACCAUGAAAACCACUCUUCACUGAGCACUGGCCGUUUAAUGGGCCUGACGUCAUAUUGCCACGUGAAGCAGCCAGCCCUCUACUUUUGAAAACACCCUUUAAGGAAAUGAUUGCAAAGCUUGACUAUAAAAUAUUUUCAGAUAUUUGAAUGAGAAAACAAAAAGCCAUGGUUCCCCACUGAGAGACACAGAAAGAACUCCUACAGCUCUGCCCCCUCCCCACACAGACCAGCCCUCCUUCCUUGAGGACAGGACUGACUAGGUCUGAACACAGCAGGUGCCCCACGCAUGAGCUGAACUCCACUGAACUACAGCCAGUCACACAGACUGGAGGGUCUUUCUGUGGGAUUCUCCCAUUCCCACUGAAUCCUUCCCAUAGGCAAAAGGUAGUUCCCUAAAACAAAUGAGAACAGCUGGAAGGGAUCUGUUUACUGAAUCAAGAAAACACUUAAAUCUAUUAACUGAAUGAAGACAACUGAAAAACAAAACAUUCCUGAAGGAUUAAACUCUGCAGAAAGAAGCUGGCAUUUGCCCAGGACAAGGACAGGCAUCCUUUACAAUGCUUAUCUCAGUUAGAACAGCCUUGUAGGUAGACAGGGCAGAAGGAUCUCUGCUGGGUCAGCCUAACAGGAGCAGGAAGGGUCACCUGGUGCAAAAACAGGGGAGGAAAGUUUCUGACCAGCUGAUGUGAAAGCAAAGUUGGCCAGAGGUCACGUGAGGGAAGUCUGCUAGGAUGCCUGUCUCAGUCUGUGUAGUUUUGCUAUGAAGAAAUAUCUGAGGCUGGGUAUUUACUUUUAAAAGAGGUGUAUCUGGCUCAUGGGUCUGCAGACUGUACAAGCAGGGUGUCAGCAUCUGCUUCCAAAGAGGGCUUCAGGCUGCAUCUGCUUACGGUGGAAGGUGAAGGGGAGCCCUGUGCAGAGAUCACAUCAUGAGAGGAGAAGCAAGAAAGAGGACACGAAGGUGCCAAGCUCUUUUUUUUUUUUUUUUUUUUUGAGAUGGAGUCUCGCUCUGACGUCCAGAUUGGAGUGCAAUGGUGUGAUCUCGGCUCACUGCAACCUCCACAUUCCAGGUUCAAGCGAUUCUCCUGCCUCAGUCUCCUGAGUAGCUGUGAUUACAGGUGCACGCCACCACACCCGGCUAAUUUUUUUUAUUUUUUUGUAUUUUUAGUAGAGAUGUGGUUUCGCCAUGUUGGCCAGGCUGGUCUUGAACUCCUGACCUCAAGUGAUCCACUCUUUUUAACAACCAGCUCUCACAAACUAACAGAGUGAGAACUCAUUCUCCCUCACCCUACCCAGGGAGGACAUUCAUCUAUCAUGAAGGAUUCACCCUCAUGACCCAAACACCUCCCAUUAGGCCCCACUUCUUAACACUGGGGAUCAAAUUUCAACAUGAGAUUUGGUGGAGACAAACAUCCCAGCUCUAGCCAUGCCCACCUGCUGAAUGCUUAUUCACUGUGAACAACUGCUGUCUUCUGAAAAAGUUGUGAAAUGCAUUUUGUGAAAAGAAUUCUAUUUUGAAUGCCCGAAUGGAAUUUAAUUUAGAGGAAAUCUGUUGUGAGUUACCUUCAAGAACUGCCAGGUUAGCUGUGUGACCUCAGGCAAGUUAUCUAACUUCUCCAUGCAUCAACUUCCCCAUAGAAAAAGCAGGGAGAAUAGAAUAGCAGUGCCUACUUCAUCAGGCUGUUGUGGGAAUUAAAUGACUUGACACAUCUGAAGGGCUGAUGAUGUGAUGCUUGAGAGACGCGGGAUACAACCCUUGCAGCCCUUGGCAGGCUGACGGUGCAGGCACUUUCCCUCAAGUAUCUGGGCCCUUCCGUGCCCCAGUGCCACCUGCCUCCCCAGAGCAAUUACCAAUCACAUCAACAAGGGCUACCCAGGGUGGUCACUCCCCUGCUCAGCAGUUCUCUGCGUCUGUAGCUACCGUGCCUUCUCAGCACCCCGCACGAUGUGUACCUCCUAGAAGUCACUCAAUGAGCAUUUGAAGUGAACAAACACCUGGCCGGAUGCUAACCUGGAGGGUCAGAUUUUACACACAUGACUAAUAAAGACCGUCCUGCCAAGUCUUUUUUAGUGAACUUACACAGCGCCACACACAGAUAGGGUCCUCAAUGAAUAAAUAUUCCUGGGCG